UGGCUUCAUUUCGAACUGUUAAAACGACAACAUGUGGCAAAUGCUACAAUUCUAACGCUUGUUUGCUGUAUCAUUUAAUUACAUUAUAAAACUGUGUCGGUUUUACAGAUGUAUUCAAGGGGGAUUAAUCCUAGGAUAUUUUUAAUAUAAAGGUACUAACUCCCCAAGUUGGGGUGGAUUCCACACCCAAGCCUCCAAGGUAAAAGCAAAUUUCGGCAUAGGAUAGAUUUUGAAGAAAUCAUGCAGCAAAAAAUAAGAUUAUUUUUUGCAUGUGAAAAAUUGAACACGGACAACAAAGCAGAAAGUUACUUAUUAAAAUUUUGGAACAUGAAGAACAAAAAAAAAA
rnacentral:lncRNA from 1 species